UACACUCCUACGGGAGGCAGCAGUGGGGAAUAUUGCACAAUGGGCGCAAGCCUGAUGCAGCCAUGCCGCGUGUAUGAAGAAGGCCUUCGGGUUGUAAAGUACUUUCAGCGGGGAGGAAGGCGAUAAGGUUAAUAACCUUGUUGAUUGACGUUACCCGCAGAAGAAGCACCGGCUAACUCCGUGCCAGCAGCCGCGGUAAUACGGAGGGUGCAAGCGUUAAUCGGAAUUACUGGGCGUAAAGCGCACGCAGGCGGUCUGUCAAGUCGGAUGUGAAAUCCCCGGGCUCAACCUGGGAACUGCAUUCGAAACUGGCAGGCUAGAGUCUUGUAGAGGGGGGUAGAAUUCCAGGUGUAGCGGUGAAAUGCGUAGAGAUCUGGAGGAAUACCGGUGGCGAAGGCGGCCCCCUGGACAAAGACUGACGCUCAGGUGCGAAAGCGUGGGGAGCAAACAGGAUUAGAAACCCCGGUAGUCCCAUGAU
rnacentral:rRNA from 1 species